GACGAGGGGUCCAAGCGUUGUUCGGAAUCAUUGGGCGUAAAGCGGGUGUAGGUGGCUCUGUAAGUCAGAAGUGAAAGCCCCGGGCUUAACUCGGGAAGUGCUUUUGAUACUGCAGAGCUUGAAUGUGGGAGAGGAUCGUGGAAUUCCAGGUGUAGUGGUGAAAUACGUAGAUAUCUGGAGGAACACCGGUGGCGAAGGCGGCGGUCUGGCCCAACAUUGACACUGAGACCCGAAAGUGCGGGGAUCAAACAGG
rnacentral:misc_RNA from 1 species